UACGGGGGGAGCAAGCGUUGUUCGGAUUUACUGGGCGUAAAGGGCGCGUAGGCGGCGCAACAAGUCACUUGUGAAAUCUCCGGGCUUAACCCGGAGCGGCCAAGUGAUACUGUCGUGCUAGAGUGCGGAAGGGGCUACUGGAAUUCUCGGUGUAGCGGUGAAAUUCGUAGAUAUCGGGAGGAACACCAGUGGCGAAGGCGGCGAUCUGGGAAGAUACUGACGCUGAGGUGCGAAAGCGUGGGGAGCAAACAGA
rnacentral:rRNA from 1 species